rnacentral:rRNA from 1 species
CCUACGGGCGGCAGCAGUGAGGAAUAUUGGUCAAUGGACGCAAGUCUGAACCAGCCAUGCCGCGUGCAGGAAGACGGCUCUAUGAGUUGUAAACUGCUUUUGUACGAGGGUAAACGCAGAUACGCGUAUCUGUCUGAAAGUAUCGUACGAAUAAGGAUCGGCUAACUCCGUGCCAGCAGCCGCGGUAAUACGGAGGAUUCAAGCGUUAUCCGGAUUUAUUGGGGUUAAAGGGUGCGUAGGCGGUCGGAUAAGUUAGAGGUGAAAUCCCGAGGCUCAACUUCGGAAUUGCCUCUGAUACUGUUCGGCUUGAGGGUAGUUGCGGUAGGCGGAAUGUAUGGUGUAGCGGUGAAAUGCUUAGAGAUCAGACAGAACACCGAUUGCGAAGGCAGCUUACCAAGCUACUUCUGACGUUGAGGCACGAAAGCGUGGGGAGCAAACAGGAUUAGAUACCCGAGUAGUC